rnacentral:rRNA from 1 species
GGACUGGAGAGCAGGAGAGGGCGGUGGAACUCCAUGUGUAGCGGUAAAAUGCGUAGAUAUAUGGAAGAACACCAGUGGCGAAGGCGGCCGCCUGGCCUGUUGCUGACGCUGAGGCACGAAAGCGUGGGGAGCAAAUAGGAUUAGAUACCCUAGUAGUCCACGCCGUAAACGAUGAGGACCAAGUGUUGGGGGUGAAACCUCAGUGCUGAAGUUAACGCAGUGAGUCCUCCGCCUGGGGAGUAUGCACGCAAGUGUGAAACUCAAAGGAAUUGACGGGGGCCCGCACAAGCGGUGGAGUAUGUGGUUUAAUUCGAAGCAACGCGAAGAACCUUACCAGGCCUUGACAUGGGAUGCGAAGACGCAGAGAUGCGUUGGAGGUCAACAUCCACACAGGUGGUGCAUGGUUGUCGUCAGCUCGUGUCGUGAGAUGUUGGGUCAAGUCCCGCAACGAGCGCAACCCUUGUGGCAUGUUGCUAACAGGAAAGCUGAGGACUCAUGCCAGACUGCCGGUGACAAACCGGAGGAAGGCGGGGAGGACGUCAAAUCAUCAUGCCCCUUAUGGCCAGGGCUACACACGUGCUACAAUGGCGUAAACAAAGGGAAGCGAAGCCGUGAGGUGGAGCAAAUCCCAAAAAUAACGUCCCAGUUCGGAUUGUAGUCUGCAACUCGACUACAUGAAGCUGGAAUCGCUAGUAAUCGCAGAUCAGAACGCUGCGGUGAAUACGUUCCCGGGUCUUGUACACACCGCCCGUCAA